AGCGAUGGCAAUACCACCCUGAACACACCUGAUCUCGUCUGAUCUUGGAAGCUAAGCAGGGUUGGGCCUGAUUAGGACUUGGAUGGGAGCCUGCCUGGGAAUAUCAAGUAGGCUUUGGGC
ensembl:rRNA 5S_rRNA 5S ribosomal RNA